GUGACGUACGUCCUGGCGCCGCCGCGCAGGAAGGCGGAAACGCUGAGUCGUUGGUUAGGCGCGCCGCUAGCUUCACGGCGCGGGCUCUUCCGUGGCCGCCAUGGCGUCGGAGCGGCCGCGGGAGCCGGACGGCGAGGAUAGCAUCAAGUUGUCAGCUGAUGUCAAACCAUUCGUCCCUAAGUUUGCUGGGCUCAACGUGGCGUGGUCAGAGUCCUCAGAGACACGUGUCUUCCCAGGCUGUGCGGCCACCUACUAUCCAUUUGUACAGGAACCACCAGCAGCUGAACAGAAAAUGUAUCCCGAAGACAUGGCUUUCGGAGCCCCCACCUUUCCAGCACAGUACGUGUCUUCUGAGAUAGCGCUGCAUCCUUUUGCCUAUCCCACUUACACCCUAGAGUCCGCACAGAGUGUUUGCUCAGUGCCAACCCUGCAGUACGACUACAGCCAAGCACGGUGUCACCCAGGCUUUCGGACAGCAAAGCCCCGGCAUGAGCACGUGUGCCCUCCACCUCAGGAAGCAAAAGGUGUAUUUAAGAAAAAACCCUCUGAUGAGAGAAGAGCAUGUGAAGAGCAAAAGUCAAGCAGCAGAAGGGCUGACAAUGCGGUGCCCUGUGAGGCGAGACCAGCCAGGGGGUCCAGUCACCUGUCCUCUCGAACUGAGAGCAGUUUGAAAUCUGAUGGUUACCACAAGCGACCCGACCGCAAGUCCAGAAUCCUUGCGAAGAGUGCAUCUACCUCUAAACCUGAAUUUGAGUUUAGUAGGUUAGACUUUCCUGAACUGCAGAGUCCAAAGAACAGUAACAUGCCAGAGACACAGAAGCCGCCCAGGUGGGGGCCUCUUGGCCCUGCUGCCAGUAACAUGCCUCUCCUAGGAGACGUCGGCAAGCCCGUCGCAGAUAUGGUAGAGGGCAAAAUGGUGAAGAGCGAUCACACUGAUGGAGCUGUGACCAGUAAUGCCACUACCAGUUCCCCUUCAUGUACCCAAGAGUUGUCUUGGACACCAAUGGGUUAUAUUGUUCGGCAGACAGUGUCUUCAGAUUCAGCAGCAGCCACUGAAAAUGUGACUUCCAUGAUAAACCUAAAGAAGACUACUUCAUCAGCUGAUGCUAAAAAUGUUAGUGUGACAUCUGAGGCUUUAUCUUCAAAUCCUUCCUACAACAGAGAAAAGCGUGUUUAUCCUGCUCCAAAGGCCAAAGCAUCACAAGGAGGUGAACUUGAACAAAACGAAAGCUCCAAAAAGAAUAAGAAAAAGAAAGAGAAGUCUAAACCGAGUUAUGAAGUCCUGACGGUUCAGGAGCCGCCAAGGAUUGAAGAUGCAGAGGAAUUCCCCAACCUGUCAGUUGCGUCGGAAAGAAGACACAGAGGGCAAUCACCGAAGCUUCACAGUAAACAGCAGACGCAGAAUGAAUUUAAAACAAGUGGGAAGAAGAGCCAGGUCCCAGUGCAGCUGGACCUGGGGGGCAUGCUGGCCGCGCUGGAGAAGCAGCAGCAGCAGCAGCACGCCUCGCACGCCAAGCCAUCCUCCAGACCCGUCGUGUUCUCAGUUGGAGCAGUGCCAGUCCUGUCCAAGGAUGCCUCCUCCAGUGAGAGGGGACGCCGCUCCAGUCAGAUGAAGACCCCACACAACCCCCUGGACUCCAGUGCCCCCCUGAUGAAGAAGGGGAAGCAGAGGGAGAUACCUAAGGCCAAGAAGCCCACCUCACUGAAGAAGAUAAUUUUGAAAGAACGGCAAGAGAGGAUGCAGCAGCGACUCCAAGAAAGUGCUGUGAGCCUGACGGUGGCCAGUGAUGACUCACAGGAUGUGGAGAGUGGCGCCAGUAACCAAACCCCCAGUCAGGACAACCCCACAGGUCCAGAGAAGACAGAAGAAUCAGUGUCUUCUACACCUGUGGUUGAGGGUGAGUCAGAGGAGCCAGCUGGCACAGAGUUCCAGAGGGACCCAGAGGCUUGCCAGCCUGCCCCUGACAGUGCCACCUUCCCCAAGAUCCACAGCCGGAGGUUCCGGGACUACUGCAGCCAGAUGCUUAGUAAAGAAGUAGAUGCUUGUGUCACGGGUCUGCUCAAGGAGCUGGUGCGCUUCCAAGACCGCAUGUACCAGAAGGAUCCCGUCAAGGCCAAGACAAAACGGCGGCUCGUGCUGGGGCUGAGGGAGGUCCUGAAACACCUGAAGCUCAGGAAGCUGAAGUGCAUCAUCAUCUCUCCCAACUGUGAGAAGACCCAGUCUAAAGCAGUUAGCCUGACCUGGAAGAAGGCUUUGUGUAAGGUGAUAGUGAACUUCCCAUCAUGACUCUGGGAGGACUUGCCUGACAUCCUGUGUCCUGGGUUCCAUGGCGGAAGGAGUCAUUAGGAAGAUGCUGUCAUUCACACACCCUCUUCAUCCAGUUAGAACUGCGAGUGAGGGGAAUAUUUGGGACACAUGAGCCAUCAUCUCCCUGGACUGUUCCAUUCUCCCGUGGGUAACCUUCAGCUCGGCCAAAGUCACACUUUGAGGUGGGCUGGACGACACGCUGCACACCAUCAUCGACUGCGCCUGCGAGCAGAACAUCCCCUUCGUGUUUGCACUCAAUCGCAAGGCUCUGGGGCGGAGCCUGAAUAAAGCUGUUCCUGUCAGCAUUGUAGGGAUCUUCAGCUACGAUGGGGCCCAGGACCAGUUCCACAAGAUGGUUGAGCUGACCAUGGCAGCCCGUCAGGCAUACAAGACCAUGUUGGAGACAAUGCGGCAGGAACAGGCAGGAGAACCUGGACCUCAGUCCCCUCCCAGCCCACCCAUGCAAGACCCCAUCCCAUCCACGGAAGAAGGCACCCUCCCUUCCACUGGAGAAGAGCCACACUACAUUGAGAUUUGGAAAAAGCACCUGGAAGCGUACAGUCAGCGUGCCCUGGAGCUGGAAGACUCACUGGAGGCGUCAACCUCUCAGAUGAUGAACUUGAAUUUAUAAGAAGAGUUCUUGCCUGUGUGUCUGUGUAUUGGGUAAGGAUGGGAGAGGCAGGAAAAGACUUCCUUCUCAGUUCUUUACUGACAUGAUGUAUUUAUGUGACUGUAGAGUUGGAAAUUCACUGGGCCUCAGGGCAAAGGAAGCACCUGGUUGUAGCACUGAGUCCAUCAGAUGGGCACUCAGAUGCGCCCGUGGGCACCUUUCCUUAAGAGCCUAUUGAUCAGCUUCGGUUCUUUCUCUCUGCACUCUGGAUCUGGAAAACGCUGGAGAACGUGGUCCUGGGUACCGUGGCUGCCUAGGACCCACUAUUACAGUGCUGCUCAACCAAGUUUGGGGAUGGUGAACCAGGAGCUGUGCUCCGGGGUGUGCAGGGCCCUUCCUCGGGGGUGGAGUCCUGCCAUUGUGCUGCCAAGGAUUUGCUAAGAUGAGCCUCAGAAGAAAAUUAGUUUCUAACAUGACUUUUUGACAUAAAUUAAUGCUUUUAGUUUUUAUUUUCCAAAGAAGCAGUAUAUAUCAAAUUUGUAGAUUUCAGUUUGGUGUCUACAAAUCUUUUUAAUGAACAUAGGAUGAAUGUGUUUCUGUCCUAGAGGACAGAGCUUACUAACAUAUUUUCCUGCAAGCAAGAGGGCUUAUUUGUUUUGAAUAAAGAGUGAUUAUUUAAUUUCA